rnacentral:tRNA from 1 species
GCCUGGGUAGCUCAGUUGGUAGAGCACUUGCCCAUGAAAGGCAAAGGUCCCGAGUUCGAGUCUCGGUCCGGCACA